UACAGAGGGUGCGAGCGUUAAUCGGAAUUAUUGGGCGUAAAGCGUGCGUAGACGGUUUCGUAAGUCGGGUGUGAAAUCCCCGGGCUCAACCUGGGAAUUGCGCAUGAUACUGCGGCGCUUGAAGACGGGAGAGGAUGGCGGAAUUCCCAGUGUAGAGGUGAAAUUCGUAGAUAUUGGGAAGAACACCGGUGGCGAAGGCGGCCAUCUGGCCCGUAAUUGACGCUGAGGCGCGAAAGCGUGGGGAGCAAACAGG
rnacentral:rRNA from 1 species